rnacentral:rRNA from 1 species
UACAGAGGGUGCGAGCGUUUAAUCGGAAUUACUGGGCGUAAAGCGUGCGUAGACGGUAGCGUAAGUCAGAUGUGAAAUCCCCGGGCUCAACCUGGGAACUGCAUUUGUGACUGUAGAGCUGGAGUACGGCAGAGGGGGAUGGAAUUCCGCGUGUAGCAGUGAAAUGCGUAGAUAUGCGGAGGAACACCGAUGGCGAAGGCAAUCCCCUGGGCCUGUACUGACGCUCAUGCACGAAAGCGUGGGGAGCAAACAGG